rnacentral:lncRNA from 1 species
GCGACAGCUGGUUUCAUUUCAGCUGGUGGGUCAAGACUCCUGACACUCUGCAGAAUCCCAGAUCAUCUCCGGACAGUUCUCGGUAGCAUCCUUCCUGUCAUUGGCCUCAGACUUGGACUGGGGUCUCUGUGCAAGAUUGAUAACUUGUCCAGAAGUCAGCAAGACCCAUAGCUCCUGUUCAACCUGAAGUCUGAAGACUAGAUAAGGAAACUUUUUCUACCUAUUUUAUACUCUCUGGAAGGUCAGUAUUUUUAUGCAUUUGACCUCACGUACAGACCUUGUAGUGGCAAAGGCAGUGAACCCUGAGUAGAUGGUGAUCAAUUACUGCUUCCUGCCUCAAACAUCCAUGAGAGAGACAGAGGCAGAUGUGGACCAGGAGCGCACUGCUGUGUUCCCAGCAGAGACACACCUCAAGAUACAUGAGCCAGAGCCUUGUCUGUGCCUCUCCAGAAGAAGGCAUCAGAUUUCUAAUUCUUGCCUUCCAGAGAUGACAGCCCCCCAAACCAGCAAUGGGUGUGGUCUGAGAGAGACAGAUGAUGGAAUAGUCUUCAUGUAUCUAAAACAGAAGAUAAGAAAAGGCUCCCUACCAAGGUAUCAACAGUUUCUCAGUGAUGAGGAUAGAAGAACCUGGGAAUAUCAACAAAUUACCCAAACAGUCUUGCCUGUGGAGCUCACUGGUCCAGACGGGUUUCCUCCUCAGCUGUGA